rnacentral:rRNA from 1 species
CUAUACAUGCAAGUCGAGCGGACAGAAGGGAGCUUGCUCCCGGAUGUUAGCGGCGGACGGGUGAGUAACACGUGGGUAACCUGCCUGUAAGACUGGGAUAACUCCGGGAAACCGGAGCUAAUACCGGAUAGUUCCUUGAACCGCAUGGUUCAAGGAUGAAAGACGGUUUCGGCUGUCACUUACAGAUGGACCCGCGGCGCAUUAGCUAGUUGGUGGGGUAAUGGCUCACCAAGGCGACGAUGCGUAGCCGACCUGAGAGGGUGAUCGGCCACACUGGGACUGAGACACGGCCCAGACUCCUACGGGAGGCAGCAGUAGGGAAUCUUCCGCAAUGGACGAAAGUCUGACGGAGCAACGCCGCGUGAGUGAUGAAGGUUUUCGGAUCGUAAAGCUCUGUUGUUAGGGAAGAACAAGUGCGAGAGUAACUGCUCGCACCUUGACGGUACCUAACCAGAAAGCCACGGCUAACUACGUGCCAGCAGCCGCGGUAAUACGUAGGUGGCAAGCGUUGUCCGGAAUUAUUGGGCGUAAAGGGCUCGCAGGCGGUUUCUUAAGUCUGAUGUGAAAGCCCCCGGCUCAACCGGGGAGGGUCAUUGGAAACUGGGAAACUUGAGUGCAGAAGAGGAGAGUGGAAUUCCACGUGUAGCGGUGAAAUGCGUAGAGAUGUGGAGGAACACCAGUGGCGAAGGCGACUCUCUGGUCUGUAACUGACGCUGAGGAGCGAAAGCGUGGGGAGCGAACAGGAUUAGAUACCCUGGUAGUCCACGCCGUAAACGAUGAGUGCUAAGUGUUAGGGGGUUUCCGCCCCUUAGUGCUGCAGCUAACGCAUUAAGCACUCCGCCUGGGGAGUACGGUCGCAAGACUGAAACUCAAAGGAAUUGACGGGGGCCCGCACAAGCGGUGGAGCAUGUGGUUUAAUUCGAAGCAACGCGAAGAACCUUACCAGGUCUUGACAUCCUCUGACAACCCUAGAGAUAGGGCUUUCCCUUCGGGGACAGAGUGACAGGUGGUGCAUGGUUGUCGUCAGCUCGUGUCGUGAGAUGUUGGGUUAAGUCCCGCAACGAGCGCAACCNUUGAUCUUANUUGCCAGCAUUNCAUUNGGGCACNCUAAGGNUGACUGCCGGGUGACAAACCCGGAAGAAAGGUGGGGGAUAGACGUCGAAUC